AUGAAAGUGCUGCAUCUGAUUAAUUUGACGAGUGGCGGACGGGUGAGUAACACGUGGGUAACCUGCCCUUAAGUGGGGGAUAACAUUUGGAAACAGAUGUCUAAUACCGCAUAAAUCCAAGAACCGCAUGGUUCUUGGCUGAAAGAUGGCGUAAGCUAUCGCUUUUGGAUGGACCCGCGGCGUAUUAGCUAGUUGGUGAGGUAACGGCUCACCAAGGCAAUGAUACGUAGCCGAACUGAGAGGUUGAUCGGCCACAUUGGGACUGAGACACGGCCCAAACUCCUACGGGAGGCAGCAGUAGGGAAUCUUCCACAAUGGACGCAAGUCUGAUGGAGCAACGCCGCGUGAGUGAAGAAGGCUUUCGGGUCGUAAAACUCUGUUGUUGGAGAAGAAUGGUCGGCAGAGUAACUGUUGUCGGCGUGACGGUAUCCAACCAGAAAGCCACGGCUAACUACGUGCCAGCAGCCGCGGUAAUACGUAGGUGGCAAGCGUUAUCCGGAUUUAUUGGGCGUAAAGCGAGCGCAGGCGGUUUUUUAAGUCUGAUGUGAAAGCCCUCGGCUUAACCGAGGAAGUGCAUCGGAAACUGGGAAACUUGAGUGCAGAAGAGGACAGUGGAACUCCAUGUGUAGCGGUGAAAUGCGUAGAUAUAUGGAAGAACACCAGUGGCGAAGGCGGCUGUCUGGUCUGUAACUGACGCUGAGGCUCGAAAGCAUGGGUAGCGAACAGGAUUAGAUACCCUGGUAGUCCAUGCCGUAAACGAUGAAUGCUAGGUGUUGGAGGGUUUCCGCCCUUCAGUGCCGCAGCUAACGCAUUAAGCAUUCCGCCUGGGGAGUACGACCGCAAGGUUGAAACUCAAAGGAAUUGACGGGGGCCCGCACAAGCGGUGGAGCAUGUGGUUUAAUUCGAAGCAACGCGAAGAACCUUACCAGGUCUUGACAUCUUUUGAUCACCUGAGAGAUCAGGUUUCCCCUUCGGGGGCAAAAUGACAGGUGGUGCAUGGUUGUCGUC
rnacentral:rRNA from 1 species